UACGUAGGGGUCUAGCGUUGUCCGGAAUCAUUGGGCGUAAAGAGCUCGUAGGCGGUUCAGCAAGUCGGCUGUGAAAUUCCGAGGCUCAACCUCGGAACUGCAGUCGAUACUGCUGUGACCCGAGUCCGGUAGAGGAGAAUGGAAUUCCCGGUGUAGCGGUGAAAUGCGCAGAUAUCGGGAGGAACACCAGUAGCGAAGGCGGUUCUCUGGGCCGGUACUGACGCUGAGGAGCGAAAGCGUGGGGAGCAAACAGG
rnacentral:rRNA from 1 species